rnacentral:rRNA from 1 species
AGUGAACGCUGGCGGCAUGCCUUACACAUGCAAGUCGAACGGUAACAGGUCUUCGGAUGCUAACGAGUGGCGAACGGGUGAGUAAUACAUCGGAACGUGCCCGAUCGUGGGGGAUAACGGAGCGAAAGCUUUGCUAAUACCGCAUACGAUCUACGGAUGAAAGCGGGGGAUCUUCGGACCUCGCGCGGACGGAGCGGCCGAUGACAGAUUAGGUAGUUGGUGGGAUAAAAGCUUACCAAGCCGACGAUCUGUAGCUGGUCUGAGAGGAUGAUCGGCCACACUGGGACUGAGACACGGCCCAG